AUUAGCAUCAGCAACCAAACAUCAAUAACAGCUAUAAACUAUAAACUACUACUAGCAGUUAAAUAGAUCAGACCAUUGGAAUCAACAAUUGUUGGAUAUCCUCACAUCUAACAACAACUGAUUUUUAAGAGCACCAAACAAGUUGAGGGUCAAAUAGCUAUUUGUUAACCACCAACACUUAAAAGAAACACCCCCAAGUCAUAA
rnacentral:misc_RNA from 1 species